GGCCGCCUAUAAGAAAAGUGGGACACACCUGAGAGCAGAUCUGCAACGGAAGCCAAGCGUUGCCCAUAAGCUGGCCGUCAAAACGAUCGACAUUUACAUACGAGAUUCGUUUGAGAAAUGGGAAGCAAACAAAACGCUGAAAUUUUCAAAUUUGAGAUUUGGUAGCUGCACAUAACAUUAACAACAAGUUUUUUAAUUCGCUUGGGCCAUGAAUCUGUUUGACUGUCUGACUGUUUGACUUGCGUCUCUUGUUUGCGCUUGGCCUGCGAAUGAACCAACCGCGGGCAGAGAGACUCUGCCCCGACCAACCCGCCAGAUAAUAAAUCUACUACCCAAUAUUUGGACAGCGCAGAAAACACAGCUUGCAAUUUACUCCACGACACAACUCAUCACAGACCAAAGACACUGCCGGAUAAGCAAAUUAAAAUAUCAUCAUAAAUAAUGGGUCCUACUGUGAGGAAUAAUGAAGCGUUCCGGGAGUGUGUACAACUAUAUACUAAGCAUGGGGAAACAAGUUAUAAGAAGAUGAGCACGCAGAGCGUUAAGAGGUAUUUGGUUUCAGUAUGUUCUUUAUUUAAAUAAUAUUCAUUUGGCGAUGUAACUUCCGCAUUUAUAUUCAAAAUUUAUUGCAUUUUCGGAACUGAUCAAUAAACUGUUUAAAUGCUA